rnacentral:rRNA from 1 species
CAGCCGCCGCGGUAAUACGAAGGGGGCUAGCGUUACUCGGAAUGACUGGGCGUAAAGGGCGCGUAGGCGGAUGGCACAGUCAGAUGUGAAAUUCCCGGGCUUAACCUGGGGGCUGCAUUUGAUACGUGUUGUCUAGAGUGAGGAAGAGGGUCGUGGAAUUCCCAGUGUAGAGGUGAAAUUCGUAGGUAUUGGGAAGAACACCGGAGGCGAAGGCGGCGACCUGGUCCUUUACUGACGCUGAGGCGCGAAAGCGUGAGGAGCAAACAGGAUUAGAUACCCCUGUAGUCCCUGUCUCUUAUAC